GUUUAUAUGGUGUAGAUGCACGUAGGAUUUUCAAUUCUAUGGCGAAAGCUUAUGUUUUCUAUAAAU
rnacentral:tRNA from 1 species